UAAAGUAAAAAAAAAAUCGCCACUUUUUCAAACAAUACUUGCUGAAAGUGCAGCUUUGAAAAAAAAAGAUUCAAUCAAAGCUUUGUGUUAAAGUGUUAACAUUUAUUAACUUGGCAUUAGUGAGAAAGGGCGGAACACAUAUUGAUUAUCGAUAUAACUCACCGGUAUUACACAGACAACUUCAAGUACAGCAUCAAUAUCUGCAAGUAACACAUCACCUACAGUUAUUACACCAGCAAUUACAAGUACCACAUCACCUACAGUUAUACCACCAGGAAUUUCAAGUAACACAUCGACUACAGUUAUUCCAGCAGGAUUUACAAGUAACACAUCACAUACAGUUAUUACACCAGCAGUUACAACUAACAUGUCACCCGCAGUCAGUACACCAGCAACUACACGUACCAUAUCACCUACAGUUAUUACACCAGCCAUUACAACUAACACAUCACCUACAGUUAUUACACCAGGAAUUACAAGUACAUCGACAUUGGAUAGAGGCAAUGCAGUGGAACCCACGAUCCCAACACCAGGUCCAUCCGAUGGGGGCGAAACAACUCCUGGUAAUGAGGGCCUAACAGCUUACGAGUCCAAACCCUAUGUGCUCUUCGUGACGGUCGUUAUGACUACACUAUACCAAUGGGUUUAGAAUGGCGUAUUAAUAUUUAAAAAGCACAAUCAUUAGCUGUUGAAGUAAUUGGUGCUGAUAAAUAUGAAUUACUUUGAAAGCAUCAAGAACCAUUGUUACCGAUUUGACCUAAUGAACGGGUUAGAAAUGUACAUGCUGAUAAAAAAUGUUUAAUAUAUUAUUAUUUAGUUAUACUUAUUAUCGUAGCUUGUUAUGAAUGUGAUGCUGCAUUAUUUUGCCCCAAGUUUGUUCAUUUUGUGUAUGAAAUAUAAAAAAAAUCAACGCGAUAUAACAAAAUAUGGUGUUUUACAUAUGUUUUAAUUUAAUCAUAGUGUUUGUAAGAAUGCUUUUGUAAUUUGACAUGUAUUAAUACGUUGUUUUUCUACAAGCUACAUGUUACUUAAUUAUUUUAACAUUUUCAUCUAUUAAGUUUAUGUUAUAAUAAGGUUACUUAUUGUCUUCUAUUCCUGCAUAUUAGGCAGGUGAAACUUUGUGUGAUCAAUAUGGUCGUAUCAUUUAUUUAGUAACUACCAUUGUAUUAUGUAUGUUCAUUAGACAUUUUCCAUUAUAAAAACUGUAUUAUAGAACUUACUAUUUGUUGCAUCCAAUAAAAUUGUCUUAUA